GACGUAGGGGCCAGCGUUGCUCGGAAUUAUUUGGGCGUAAAGAGCUCGUAGGCGGUUUUGUCGCGUCGGCUGUGAAAACUCGGGGCUCAACCCCGAGCCUGCAGUCGAUACGGGCAGACUAGAGUGCUGUAGGGGAGACUGGAAUUCCUGGUGUAAGCGGUGAAAUGCGCAGAUAUCUGGAGGAACACCGGUGGCGAAGGCGGCAUCCUGGACCAACACUGACGCUGAG
rnacentral:rRNA from 1 species